GCGGAGGGAUCAUUACAGAGUUAUCCAACUCCCAAACCCAUGUGAACUUAUCUCUUUGUUGCCUCGGCGCAAGCUACCCGGGACCUCGCGCCCCGGGCGGCCCGCCGGCGGACAAACCAAAACUCUUGUUAUCUUAGUUGAUUAUCUGAGUGUCUUAUUUAAUAAGUCAAAACUUUCAACAACGGAUCUCUUGGUUCUGGCAUCGAUGAAGAACGCAGCGAAAUGCGAUAAGUAAUGUGAAUUGCAGAAUUCAGUGAAUCAUCGAAUCUUUGAACGCACAUUGCGCCCAUUAGUAUUCUAGUGGGCAUGCCUGUUCGAGCGUCAUUUCAACCCCUAAGCACAGCUUAUUGUUGGGAACCUACGGCUUCGUAGUUCCUCAAAGACAUUGGCGGAGUGGCAGUGGUCCUCUGAGCGUAGUAAUCUUUUAUCUCGCUUCUGUUAGGUGCUGCCCCCCCGGCCGUAAAACCCCCAAUUUUUUCUGGUUGACCUCGGAUCAGGUAGGAAUACCCGCUGAACUUAAGCAUAU
rnacentral:rRNA from 1 species